UACAGAGGGGGCAAGCGUUGUUCGGAAUUACUGGGCGUAAAGGGCGCGUAGGCGGCCUUCUAAGUCAGACGUGAAAUCCCUCGGCUCAACCGGGGAACUGCGUCUGAGACUGGAAGGCUUGAAUCCGGGAGAGGGAUGUGGAAUUCCAGGUGUAGCGGUGAAAUGCGUAGAUAUCUGGAGGAACACCGGUGGCGAAGGCGGCAUCCUGGACCGACACUGACGCUGAGGCGCGAAAGCUAGGGUAGCAAACGGG
rnacentral:rRNA from 1 species